rnacentral:rRNA from 1 species
GACGAACGCUGGCGGCGUGCUUAACACAUGCAAGUCGAACGGAAAGGCCCUGCUUUUGUGGGGUGCUCGAGUGGCGAACGGGUGAGUAACACGUGAGUAACCUGCCCUUGACUUUGGGAUAACUUCAGGAAACUGGGGCUAAUACCGGAUAGGAGCUCCUGCUGCAUGGUGGGGGUUGGAAAGUUUCGGCGGUUGGGGAUGGACUCGCGGCUUAUCAGCUUGUUGGUGGGGUAGUGGCUUACCAAGGCUUUGACGGGUAGCCGGCCUGAGAGGGUGACCGGCCACAUUGGGACUGGGAUACGGCCCAGACUCCUACGGGAGGCAGCAGUGGGGAAUAUUGCACAAUGGGCGGAAGCCUGAUGCAGCAAGGCCGCGUGCGGGAUGACGGCCUUCGGGUUGUAAACCGCUUUCGCCUGUGACGAAGCGUGAGUGACGGUAAUGGGUAAAGAAGCACCGGCUAACUACGUG